AGAUGAAGAACUGAGAGAUUAUACAAAAAGGACUCCCAUGUUGCAGGUACGAAAGUGUAUAAAGCUCAAGGAUAGGAGUUUGUUAACAUUACAGGAAUUAGAACUGUUCGAUAAUGUAGUUGAUGAUUGUAGUGAAUUCUUGUAUCAAUUUGAAAUGUAAUACUUUAAUUACGUUUAUCACUCAAUAAAGCUUUGAUGUGUUAUUAAUUCAAGCCUGUUGGAUAAA